CUACGGGUUGCUGCAGUGAGGAAUAUUGCACAAUGGGGGGAACCCUGAUGCAGCAACGCCGCGUGGAGGAUGACGCAUUUCGGUGUGUAAACUCCUUUUAUAUGUCAAGAAAAUGACGGUAGCAUAUGAAUAAGCACCGGCUAACUCCGUGCCAGCAGCCGCGGUAAUACGGAGGGUGCAAGCGUUACUCGGAAUCACUGGGCGUAAAGGACGCGUAGGCGGGUUGGAAAGUCAGGUGUGAAAUCCUACAGCUUAACUGUAGGACUGCACUUGAAACUUCUAAUCUAGAGUAUGGGAGGGGGAGAUGGAAUUAGUGGUGUAGGGGUAAAAUCCGUAGAUAUCACUAGGAAUACCUAAAGCGAAGGCGAUCUCCUGGAACAUUACUGACGCUAAGGCGUGAAAGCGUGGGGAGCAGACAGGAUUAGAUACCCCAGUAGUC
rnacentral:rRNA from 1 species